UAAUUCUGGAAUGUCCCGUAAAUGGCCC
rnacentral:sRNA from 1 species